UCAUGAUUUACAUUUGAGUGAGUGGCGAACUGGUGAGUAACACGUGGGAAACCUGCCCAGAAGCGGGGGAUAACACCUGGAAACAGAUGCUAAUACCGUAUAACAGAGAAAACCGCAUGGUUUUCUUUUAAAAGAUGGCUCUGCUAUCACUUCUGGAUGGACCCGCGGCGUAUUAGCUAGUUGGUGAGGUAAUAGCUCACCAAGGCGAUGAUACGUAGCCGACCUGAGAGGGUAAUCGGCCACAUUGGGACUGAGACACGGCCCAAACUCC
rnacentral:rRNA from 1 species